AAGCGGCGCCGCGGGAGGGGGUCUGUCGCCAUGGCGACCGCAGCGGAGGGGCUGCCCGAGGCCGGCGCGCAGCCCGCCAAGCAGGAUCCCGCUGUGGAAACAGCAGAGGAAGCUAAGGAACCAGCAGAAGCGGACAUCAAUGAGCUCUGUAAAGAUAUGUUCAGCAAAAUGGCCACUUACUUAACGGGUGAACUGACAGCCACCAGUGAAGACUACAAGCUCUUGGAAAACAUGAACAAGUUGACGAGCUUGAAGUACCUCGAAAUGAAAGAUAUUGCUAUAAACAUCAGUAGAAAUCUGAAGGAUUUAAAUCAAAAAUAUGCUGCUCUUCAGCCAUAUCUGGAACAAAUCAACCUAAUUGAGGAGCAGGUUGCAGCUCUGGAACAGGCAGCUUAUAAAUUGGAUGCAUAUUCCAAAAAACUUGAAGCCAAGUACAAAAAACUGGAGAAACGAUGAAACUGCAACUGUCUUUUGAAGUUGGAGUUGGGCUGUGGGUCAAACUGAUCUCUGAGUUGCACAACAUCGGUUUUAUAUGUUGACAAGGAUUUGGUAAUAGCUAACAUUUGCAAGAUGGCCACAAGAGGGUGAUGUUUCAGCAGAGAAAACUUCCAUAAGAUAAAGUAGUUAAGAGAAAGGACCAGUAUUCUGUUAAAACUAUUGCUUUUCUCCUUGAAGAAAAAGCUGUGCUGUUUUAAAAUUACAAAGGUGGGAAACUCCAGGAAUUCUGAAGAUGGGAAACCAUCUAGCUAUGUGUUGCACUUUGUGUUUUCAAGUAAAAGAGUUAAGACAUAGUAAACUGCUCCACAAACUCCUGAGUAUUGCACCUGCAGGAGGCAGAGACUGGAGAUGCCUCACAAGCGACUGUUCACUGGGAGAAAAUUUUAGAGAAUGAGUACCUGAGUGAUUAUGUGAUGGUGGCAUCCCAAUUAUGCCAGGAGCUGGCAACUGUAUUCUCAUUUCUGUCUUUAAAUAGCCAUUCUCCUCUCUGAGGGCUCUCUGUGUGAGUAGUGGAAUCCAAAUCAUGGCAAGUCUGGCAGGUCUUUGACAAGUUCUUGACAAGUUGAACUGCAACUGCAAACUGGGGAUAAAACUUAUCCUAGCAAAUGCAGCAAAUAUGGCAGAAGUUAUCCAAUAUUGGCCUCUAGCUAAAUAUGUUAUGUGUGCAGUGUUGCACCUGAUGGCAAGCAUACAAGAAAAAAAAAAGCAAUAUGUAGAGAACAAACAUUCUGUGAAUGUAUGAUGAGUUUUGUUAAUGAGAGAUUUGUUAAUGAUUAAUGUUUGUCCCUGCUUUCUGGUUUACAGUAGAGUGAAGUGGAACCUUUACAGAGGUUAAGGUUCAAAAAAAUCAAAAAAAUAAAAAAAUAAAGCAGUUCAUCCAAGUUUGUCAGCAGCUAUUGGUUUUAUCUAACCAGUUAUGCUUAAUCCAGAGGAGGCAGGAGCUAUUGAUUGCCUUUGCACUGUUAUUUAUUUAUUUAUUUAUUUAUUUUAUUGAUUAAACCAUAGCAUACACAAAGGGAGAUUUCCAGGAUGCAGCAUCAAGCCCUCCUUUGAUUCAGCAUUCCUGUUUCCUGUUGUAAUGGAACCCCUGGGAUUCACAACUA